GAAAUGCGAUAAGUAAUGUGAAUUGCAGAAUUCAGUGAAUCAUCGAAUCUUUGAACGCACAUUGCGCCCGCCAGUAUUCUGGCGGGCAUGCCUGUUCGAGCGUCAUUUCAACCAUCAAGCCCCCGGCUGGUGUUGGGGACCUGCGGCUGCCCGCAGGCCCUGAAAAACAGUGGCGGGCUCGCUGUCACACCGAGCGUAGUAGCAUACAUUCUCGCUCCGGGCGUGCUGCGGGUUCCGGCCGUUAAACGACCUUCAUAACCCAAGGUUGACCUCGGAUCAGGUAGGAAGACCCGCUGAACUUAAGC
rnacentral:misc_RNA from 1 species